rnacentral:rRNA from 1 species
UACGGGGGGGGCAAGCGUUGUUCGGAAUUACUGGGCGUAAAGCGUGCGCAGGCGGCUCCUUAAGUCAGAUGUGAAAUCCCCGGGCUUAACCUGGGAACUGCGUUUGAAACUGGGGAGCUGGAGUGUAGAAGAGGGGGGUGGAAUUCCAGGUGUAGCAGUGAAAUGCGUAGAGAUCUGGAGGAACACCGAUGGCGAAGGCAGCCCCCUGGGCUAACACUGACGCUCAUGCACGAAAGCGUGGGGAGCAAACAGG